UGGGGAAUUUUGGACAAUGGGCGAAAGCCUGAUCCAGCAAUGCCGCGUGUGUGAAGAAGGCCUUCGGGUUGUAAAGCACUUUUGUCCGGAAAGAAAUCCUUGGCUCUAAUACAGUCGGGGGAUGACGGUACCGGAAGAAUAAGCACCGGCUAACUACGUGCCAGCAGCCGCGGUAAUACGUAGGGUGCAAGCGUUAAUCGGAAUUACUGGGCGUAAAGCGUGCGCAGGCGGUUUGCUAAGACCGAUGUGAAAUCCCCGGGCUCAACCUGGGAACUGCAUUGGUGACUGGCAGGCUAGAGUAUGGCAGAGGGGGGUAGAAUUCCACGUGUAGCAGUGAAAUGCGUAGAGAUGUGGAGGAAUACCGAUGGCGAAGGCAGCCCCCUGGGCCAAUACUGACGCUCAUGCACGAAAGCGUGGGGGAGCAAACAGGAUUAGAUACCCCUGGUAGUCCACGCCCUAAACGAUGUCAACUAGUUGUUGGGGAUUCAUUUCCUUAGUAACGUAGCUAACGCGUGAAGUUGACCGCCUGGGGAGUACGGUCGCAAGAUUAAAACUCAAAUGAAUUGACGGGGUCAUA
rnacentral:rRNA from 1 species